GAUGAACGCUGGCGGCGUGCCUAAUACAUGCAAGUCGAGCGAACGGACGAGGAGCUUGCUUCUCUGAUGUUAGCGGCGGACGGGUGAGUAACACGUGGAUAACCUACCUAUAAGACUGGGAUAACUUCGGCAAACCGGAGCUAAUACCGGAUAAUAUUUUGAACCGCAUGGUUCAAAAGUGAAAGACGGUCUUGCUGUCACUUAUAGAUGGAUCCGCGCUGCAUUAGCUAGUUGGUAAGGUAACGGCUUACCAAGGCAACGAUGCAUAGCCGACCUGAGAGGGUGAUCGGCCACACUGGAACUGAGACACGGUCCAGACUCCUACGGGAGGCAGCAGUAGGGAAUCUUCCGCAAUGGGCGAAAGCCUGACGGAGCAACGCCGCGUGAGUGAUGAAGGUCUUCGGAUCGUAAAACUCUGUUAUUAGGGAAGAACAUAUGUGUAAGUAACUGUGCACAUCUUGACGGUACCUAAUCAGAAAGCCACGGCUAACUACGUG
rnacentral:rRNA from 1 species